CGAGCACGCGCGUGUGGCAUAUCAAUAAGCGGAGGAAAAGAAACUAACAAGGAUUCCCUUAGUAACGGCGAGUGAAGCGGGAAGAGCUCAAAUUUGAAAUCUUCAAGGUUCUACCUUGACGAAUUGUAGUUUAAAGAAGUGUUUUCUGUUAGUGGAGUGGCAAAAGUUCUUUGGAAUAGGACAUCAUAGAGGGUGAGAAUCCCGUAUUUGGUCAUUCCUCCUAGCUUUGUGAUACACUUUCAACGAGUCGGAUUGUUUGGGAAUGCAGUCCAAAAUGGGUGGUAAAUUUCAUCUAAAGCUAAAUAUUGGCGAGAGACCGAUAGCGAACAAGUACCGUGAGGGAAAGAUGAAAAGAACUUUGAAAAGAGAGUUAAACAGUACGUGAAAUUGUCAAAAGGGAAGCGUUUGACACCAGUGUUGUUUUUCCGAAAAUCAAUUACGAAUGUUUUAGUUUUUGAGGAGUUAUGACUUCAUCGGCUUGCUCCUUUCUUUAUGAAACUUUCUUAAUGCACUUUUCGGUUAACAAGUCAACAUCAAUUUCUUUUGUUGUAAAAGGGUAUGAGGAAGGUGGCUUUCUUUUCGGAGAAAGUGUUUAUAGCCUUGUACCUCUGCAAUCGGAGAGAUUGAGGUCUGCAGCGUAGAUCCUUCGGGGUUAGAUACAUUUGUGCUAAGUUAUAGCUUUUCAUAGACAACUUGUUGACUAUGUUAGUCUUGUAGCUUACUCGCUAGUGCUAUUUUACCUACGCUUAGGAUGUUGAAUGUGAUACUGCGAGCA
rnacentral:rRNA from 1 species